rfam:Jatropha curcas cultivar GZQX0401 scaffold8_38, whole genome shotgun sequence.
UCCGUUGUAGUCUAGUUGGUUAGGAUAUUCGGCUCUCACCUGAAAGACUUGGUUUCAAGUUUCGGCAAUAGAA